UGAAAAAUAGCAUUAAGUAAUGGUGGUAAUGACAUUAUCACCUUGUUACAGAUUUGCACAGGAAAGUCUUUAAUGAUUUAUUAUUUAGAAUAAAUGUGCUUAUCAGUUUCAAAUCAAUAACUUUUAUCUCUUUAAGAAAGUGAUGGGGGUGACAUCAGCAAGACGACUGACUAGAGACACCUGACACUCAUCUCCCAAAGAAGAACCAAGACAAUGGAUAAGCAGCCAAGAUUUGACUGCACUGUUGGAAAGAGAGCACUGCAGCACUGGGGGAAGUGAGUGGAGACACACCUAUAGUGAUUGAAAAUCCAGGAGGGCAGCAUGGAGAUCUGCUACUGCCUUAGAUCUAUGGUGUCAUCUCCUCUCUUCCUAUUGUCACACGAACUUUUAGCUACUACUGGUGCUGAGUAUCUCCUAUUUAUUCUCACACUGCCACUAAAAUGAACUUUCUGAAAUGCAAAACUAUGUCCCACCCAUGCCCAAAGUCUUUCAACAGCUGUUUCUCUUAGAAUAAAGUUCAGACUCUUGGCCGGGCGCGGUGGCUCACGCCUGUAGUCUCAGCACUUUGGAAGGCCGAGGCGGGCGGAUCAUGAGGUCAGGAGAUUGAGACUAUCCUAGCCAAUAUGGUGAAACCCUGUCUCUACGAAAAACACAAAAAUUAGCUGGGUGUGGUAGCGCCUGUAGUCCCAGCUACUCGGGAGGCUGAGAUAGAGGAUCACUUGAACCCGGGAGGCAGAAGUUGCAGUGAGCUGAGAUCGCGCCAUUGCAUUCCAGCCUGCGUGACGAAAGCAAAACUCCGUCUCAAAAAAAAAGAGAUUUUUUAAAAUGGUUUACAAGGUUAUAAAUGUCCUCAGCUCAUCCUGCGAACCUCAUCUCUAGCCACUAGCCAACUCUAGCUCUAUACUGUAGCUAUAUUCUAUUUUCUCUCAACUUGUGGUCUUUCUCCAUACUAUUUCUUCUGUCCCAAAUUCUUUUCUUUCUUCUUUACUGGUUAACUCCUAUUCUUCCACCAGCAA
rnacentral:lncRNA from 1 species